CAUUUGCCUAGAAAAACUCAGU
rnacentral:piRNA from 1 species